UACGUAGGGUCCAAGCGUUAUCCGGAAUCACUGGGCGUAAAGCGUGCGUAGGUGGCGUGUUAAGUCAGACGUGAAAUCCCUCAGCUUAACUGGGGAACUGCGUCUGAGACUGGCAAGCUCGAGUGCAGGAGAGGAACGCGGAAUUCCAGGUGUAGCGGUGAAAUGCGUAGAUAUCUGGAGGAACACCGGUGGCGAAGGCGGCGUUCUGGACUGCAACUGACACUGAGGAACGAAAGCCAGGGGAGCGAACAGG
rnacentral:rRNA from 1 species